GAAUGAAGAACGCAGCGAAAUGCGAUAAGUAGUGUGAAUUGCAGAAUUCAGUGAAUCAUCGAAUCUUUGAACGCACAUUGCGCCCCUUGGUAUCCCGAGGGGCAUGCCUGUUCGAGCGUCAUUUCACCACUCAAGCCUGGCUUGGUGUUGGGCGACGUCCUCUUUGGGGACGCGCCUCGAAACGCUCGGCGGCGUGGCACCGGCUUUAAGCGUAGCAGAAUCUUUCGCUUUGGAAGUCGGGGCCCCGUCUGCCGGAAGACCUGCUCGCAAGGUUGACCUCGGAUCAGGCAGGGAUACCCGCUGAACUUAAGCAUAUCAAUAAGCGGACGA
rnacentral:misc_RNA from 1 species